GGUGUACAUAAUUGAUUUAAAUCACUUUUGUAUAUAUUUCAUAUGGCGGUGCACAUACUAACAGGAGGAUUAUACAACUAAGAAGAAACCGAGCGUCAUCUGUCGUCAUAAUGAUCGUUAGCAUAAUAGAGGGGAGGACAGGGGGAUACCCUUCUCCCUUCUCCCACCCCUCUUCUCCUUUCUCCUACCCCCGUUCUCCUUUCUCCCAUUAGAAUAAAACAUCUCCUUUUGAGAUAUAUUUUCUUGAAAUAUUAGAAAAAAUUUUAAAAGGAGAGAUAUUUUAUUUUUUCUCCUUUCUCCAACAUUUUCUCCUUUCUCCCAGCCUUCCUCUCCUUUCUCCUACCCCCUUUCUCCUUUCUCCCACCCCUUUCUCCUUUCUCCUAUCCCCUUUCUACCUGUCUCCCUUACCCCUGUCCUCCCCCUCAUAAUACAACGAUGACAUUUCACACAUUGACAUUUAACGAAUCGACAAGUUACAAAUCAUCAAUAUACAAAUAGACAAUUUACGAGUCGAC
rnacentral:lncRNA from 1 species